rnacentral:lncRNA from 1 species
UGCUAAGGGGGUACUAGGCUAAAAUUCGAAGAGACAAAAGAGACUUGAAAGAAACUGCGGGAGUUAAAUUUAAAAAAGAUUUCAUUAACUUCAACAACUCUAUAACAACUAUUUUCUCUUCUUCUUUCUCUUUUUAUUCCUUUUUUUUCUUUUUCAGAAGGAGUAUGUAUUGACAUGUGUUGACAUCCUUCUAUUUUUUUCAUUAUUUAUU